UACAGAGGGUGCAAGCGUUAAUCGGAAUUACUGGGCGUAAAGGGCGCGUAGGCGGGGAAAUAAGUCAGAUGUGAAAGUCCUGGGCUUAACCUAGGGAUGGCAUUUGAUACUAUUUUGCUAGAGUAGAGUAGAGGGGAGUGGAAUUUCCGGUGUAGCGGUGAAAUGCGUAGAUAUCGGAAGGAACACCGGUGGCGAAGGCGGCUCCCUGGGCUCAUACUGACGCUGAGGCGCGAAAGCGUGGGGAGCGAACAGG
rnacentral:rRNA from 1 species